rnacentral:rRNA from 1 species
GGAGCGCUUAGAAGUGAGAAUGCCGGUGUGAGUAGCGAAAGACGGGUGAGAAUCCCGUCCACCGAUUGACUAAGGUUUCCAGAGGAAGGCUCGUCCGCUCUGGGUUAGUCGGGUCCUAAGCUGAGGCCGACAGGCGUAGGCGAUGGAUAACAGGUUGAUAUUCCUGUACCACCUAUAAUCGUUUUAAUCGAUGGGGGGACGCAGUAGGAUAGGCGAAGCGUGCGAUUGGAUUGCACGUCUAAGCAGUAAGGCUGAGUAUUAGGCAAAUCCGGUACUCGUUAAGGCUGAGCUGUGAUGGGGAGAAGACAUUGUGUCUUCGAGUCGUUGAUUUCACACUGCCGAGAAAAGCCUCUAGAUAGAAAAUAGGUGCCCGUACCGCAAACCGACACAGGUAGUCAAGAUGAGAAUUCUAAGGUGAGCGAGCGAACUCUCGUUAAGGAACUCGGCAAAAUGACCCCGUAACUUCGGGAGAAGGGGUGCUCUUUAGGGUUAACGCCCAGAAGAGCCGCAGUGAAUAGGCCCAAGCGACUGUUUAUCAAAAACACAGGUCUCUGCUAAACCGUAAGGUGAUGUAUAGGGGCUGACGCCUGCCCGGUGCUGGAAGGUUAAGAGGAGUGGUUAGCUUCUGCGAAGCUACGAAUCGAAGCCCCAGUAAACGGCGGCCGUAACUAUAACGGUCCUAAGGUAGCGAAAUUCCUUGUCGGGUAAGUUCCGACCCGCACGAAAGGCGUAACGAUUUGGGCACUGUCUCAACGAGAGACUCGGUGAAAUCAUAGUACCUGUGAAGAUGCAGGUUACCCGCGACAGGACGGAAAGACCCCGUGGAGCUUUACUGUAGCCUGAUAUUGAAAUUCGGCACAGCUUGUACAGGAUAGGUAGGAGCCUUUGAAACGUGAGCGCUAGCUUACGUGGAGGCGCUGGUGGGAUACUACCCUAGCUGUGUUGGCUUUCUAACCCGCACCACUUAUCGUG